ACGUCUACUCACUGAGGUUUACAUGGUUUUUUUUUUCCUCUUGGUUGUUCUGGGGAUAACACAGGGGAUAACACAUUUCGUCACAGCAGAAGCAGACCAUCAACACACAUCACUGUGACAUCAGCUUAGCAUCGAACUGAGAAAAUGCCUGUCCAUCAUCUCUACAAUGAGUCUUCCUGCCGCCAUGAAUUCCCCAGAUUCACCAUGUGUCUUUCCUGCUCCAUGCCCCCAGCCAGCCACUUAUCCCAAGAACCCCGCUUCCUUGUAUGGAAGAACACUAUCAGGAAUCAAGAUCUGGGUCCUGCAAAUGUUUGUUUUCUAUGUGGACACUCUUACUUUCAGGCCCUCUCAGCUAACAGGGCGAGGAAAUAUGUAUGUGUAUAAAAAUUGGCGUAUAUAAACAUAUCUCUAUUUA